CGAAUCCUUCCGUCCCAG
rnacentral:tRNA from 35 species